rnacentral:rRNA from 1 species
GGAUCAAUUUAUUGGUCGUGCUAUUGUACGUACUGGUAUUAUUGAUUCCUACCUUCUGACGAACCAUGAUGUCAUUAAUUUGGUGUCAUGGGGAAUCAGGACUGUUACUUUGAAAAAAUUAGAGUGUUCAAAACAAGCUUAUGCUUGAAUACAUUAGCAUGGAAUAACGGAAUAGGACUU